AGCCUCGGCAGUUGCCCUCCCCAGAGAGAAAUGGGCAGCUCAGUGGCACUCAGCCCUGGUGGUCUCCUGCCCCGUGGCAGCAAGCUGACAAGUGGAAGGAGGCAAUUGCCCGGUGCUGGGAUGCUGUGGAGCAAGGAGAAGACAAGUACAAAGCUUACUUGCUGGUGGGAUCACUACCUGAAGGCGACGGAUAUUCAGCUCUGAAGCUGGUUGAUGUCUGGCAAUGGACCUGGCGAGGCUGCAGCUGGUGGGUGGUUGUUGGAAGAGUUUGCAUUCAGGCUAGUGGAUGCCAUGAGGCUACGCUGGCUGAGAUGGAUGCAAAGUGGUUUGGAAGCCUUGUUUGUUAACAGGCAGCCAAACAGAGGAGGAGUCUGGGGGGACGCUGUUGGAUGGGGGCCAUCCCACUCACCUGUUUGCCUUUGCCUUACAGGGAUGUCCGGAGCCGGUGAGGUUUUCCCCAAGUCCAAAGUCAUGAAGAGACCCGCAGGACGUCCCUAUUUACAUCGGAGAAAUGAAUGCGAAAUACUGGCAGUGAGCAAUGGACAAGGCCAUGGCGGUACCUGAGAGAAGGAGCUUUGAAGGGAGACUGAAGACGGACAUCUGCUGCAUUGCAAGUGAUGGGGCAGUGCGGAGAGAGAAGAAAAUGAGGGAGGAAACAUUAGGCCACAUUAGGCACACCGUCCAUUGGAAGUACUAUGAAGACGCUUUGAACCGGAAUGGCUUCCCCUCAGGGAUUCUGGGAACUGUAGGUGGUUAAGGGGACAGAGAGUUGUUAGGCGGGUUAGGCUUAGGGUUAGGCUUAGGCUUAGGCUUAGGCUUGGGGUAGGGGUAGGGGUAGGGGUAGGGGUAGGGGUAGGGGUAGGGGUAAGGGUAAGGGUAAGGGUAAGGAUAGGGGUAGGGGUAGGGGUAGGGGUAGGGGUAAGGGUAGGGUUAGGGUUCCCUUCUUGUCAGGGAACUCUGGGAAUUGUAGCUCUAGUUAAGAGUUAUGGGGUAGGGGUAGGGUUCCCUUCUUGUCAGGGAACUUUGGGAAAUGUAGCUCUGGUUAAGGGUUAAUGUGUAGGAUUAGGGUUCCCUUCUUUUCAGGGAACUCUGGGAAUUGUAGCUCUGGUUAGGGAGAAGGAUUGGGGUUCCCUUCUUGCCAGGGAACUCUGGGAAUUGUAGCUCUAGUUAAUGGUUAAGGGUUAGCAUUAGGGUUAGAGUUAGGCUUAGCAUCAGGGGUAGGGGUAUUGGUAGAGUUCCCUUUUGCCAGGGAACUCUGGGAAUUGUAGCUCUUGGAGGGGAACAGGGGGUCUCCUAACAACUCUCUGCACCCUUUUCAAACUAUAGCUCCCAGAUUCUUUGGGGGAAGAAGCCAUGAGUGUUUAAAGCGGCUUCAUAGCACAUGAAAUGGUGUGGAUGUGGCCCUGGCCUCCCUCACCCCACUGCCCCUUAUUAUUGAGGAAUCGAAAAGAUUUCCCCAUGCAAAUCUCUCGGAAACAAUGUAUUUCAUCUGGAAAACUAUUUAAUAAAG